UAAGACGAACCGUGCGAACGUUAUUCGGAAUCACUGGGCUUAAAGCGCGUGUAGGCGGAUGGGGACGUCGGUUGCUGAAAUCCCCCGGCUCAACCGGGGAACGGGCACCGAAACGCCCCGUCUGGAGGGACGUAGGGGGACCUGGAACUUCCGGUGGAGCGGUGAAAUGCGUUGAGAUCGGAAGGAACGCCCGUGGCGAAAGCGAGGUCCUG
rnacentral:rRNA from 1 species